rnacentral:rRNA from 1 species
UACAGAGGUCUCGAGCGUUAGGCGGAAUCACUGGGCUUAAAGCGUGUGUAGGCGGAUCGUUAAGUACCUUGUGAAAUCCCACGGCUCAACCGUGGAACUGCUUGGUAUACUGGCGAUCUUGUGCAACCUAGGGGCGAGCGGAACAGAUGGUGGAGCGGUGAAAUGCGUAGAUAUCAUCUGGAACGCCAAUGGUGAAAACAGCUCGCUGGGGGUUUGCAGACGCUGAGACACGAAAGCCAGGGGAGCGAAGGGG